CAAUAGCGUAUAUUAAAGUUGUUGCAGUUAAAAAGCUCGUAGUUGGAUUUCUGGUUGAAGCGACCGGUCGGGCGUUGAUUCGUCUGCACUGGAGUCGGUUUUAGCCAUCCUCUAGGAAAGUGCGUCUGGUAUUAAGUUAUCGGGCGUAUGAUCCUGGUCUUUUACUGUGAAAAAAUUAGAGUGUUUAAAGCAGGCCUUCGCCUUGAAUACAUUAGCAUGGAAUAAUAAGAUAGGACUUUGGUCUAUUUUGUUGGUUUGCAGACCGAAGUAAUGAUUAAUAGGGAUAGUUGGGGGUAUUUAUAUUCCGAUGUCAGAGGUGAAAUUCUUAGAUUUUCGGAAGAUAAACUUAUGCGAAAGCAUUUACCAAGGAUGUUUUCAUUA
rnacentral:rRNA from 1 species